GACGAACGCUGGCGGCGUGCUUAACACAUGCAAGUCGAACGGAAAGGCCCUGCUUUUGUGGGGUGCUCGAGUGGCGAACGGGUGAGUAACACGCGAGUAACCUGCCCUUGACUUUGGGAUAACUUCAGGAAACUGGGGCUAAUACCGGAUAGGAGCUCCUGCUGCAUGGUGGGGGUUGGAAAGUUUCGGCGGUUGGGGAUGGACUCGCGGCUUAUCAGCUUGUUGGUGGGGUAGUGGCUUACCAAGGCUUUGACGGGUAGCCGGCCUGAGAGGGUGACCGGCCACAUUGGGACUGAGAGACGGACCAGACUCCUACGGGAGGCAGCAGUGGGGAAUAUUGCACAAUGGGCGGAAGCCUGAUGCAGCAACGCCGCGUGCGGGAUGACGGCCUUCGGGUUGUAAACCGCUUUCGCCUGUGACGAAGCGUGAGUGACGGUAAUGGGUAAAGAAGCACCGGCUAACUACGUG
rnacentral:rRNA from 1 species